rnacentral:sRNA from 1 species
GCAUAAACAACGCAAAUUGAACACUGCCAUUAAAAGCAUUUUCGACUCGAGAGCUCGCCGUGCAUGCCAUGGAUUGAUGCUCCAUGACGACGAAAACCGUCUGUGCAAGUGGAGAGCGAAGCAGAGGAUCUUGGGUGCCGCGGAUUCCUCGUCUUCUUGUAGAUCGUGGAAUCGGUGGCAAUGAUCAGCUCGACAU